CUAAGGAUAUGGUACUUUGGUACCAACGGAAUACACAAUCGUUAAAACUUUGUUUAGUUUUGAGAGGUCUACCUGGCGCUUUCGGGCCUAUAGCUCAGCUGGUUUAGAGCGCACGCCUGAUAAGCGUGAGGUCGAUGGUUCAAGUCCAUUUAGGCCCAUUCUCUGCAAAACUUAAUAGUAACAUGGGGGUUUAGCUCAGCUGGGAGAGCACCUGCUUUGCAAGCAGGAGGUCAUCGGUUCGAUCCCGUUAACCUCCAUUGACAGAAUGUCAUACUCGUACCUUGAAAACUGGAUAUUAAGAAUUAAUGAAUUAAAGAAACACCGAAAACUGCGCGGCAACUUUUUAGUUGCCAGCUGUAACUUAUGUUACGGCAAAUGAUUUAAAUUGCUUUUGUAAUUUAUUAGGGUUAAGUUAUAAAGGGCGC
rnacentral:tRNA from 1 species